UACGGGGGGAGCGAACGUUGUUCGGAAUUACUGGGCGUAAAGGGCGUGCAGGCGGUCCUGUAAGAGAGUUGUGAAAUGCCCUGGCUCAACCAGGGACAUGCACCUCUGACUGCAGGACUUGAGUAUAGGAGAGGAUGGGGGAAUUCCCGGUGUAGCGGUGAAAUGCAUUGAUAUCGGGAGGAACACCAGUGGCGAAGGCGCCCAUCUGGCCUAAUACUGACGCUCAGGCGCGAAAGCUAGGGGAG
rnacentral:rRNA from 1 species